UCCUGGUUAGUUCAGUUGCAAGAGCGCUUCACUGGAAAUGCAGGAAUCCCUGGUUCGAUGCCAAGACCAGGCG
rnacentral:tRNA from 1 species